UUGAACGCUGGCGGCAGGCCUCACACAUGCAAGUCGCGCGGAUGAAGGGAGCUUGCUCCUGGAUUCAGCGGCGGACGGGUGAGUAAUGCCUAGGAAUCUGCCUGGUAGUGGGGGAUAACGUCCGGAAACGGGCGCUAAUACCGCAUACGUCCUGAGGGAGAAAGUGGGGGAUCUUCGGACCUCACGCUAUCAGAUGAGCCUAGGUCGGAUUAGCUAGUUGGUGGGGUAAAGGCCUACCAAGGCGACGAUCCGUAACUGGUCUGAGAGGAUGAUCAGUCACACUGGAACUGAGACACGGUCCAGACUCCUACGGGGGGCAGCAGUGGGGAAUAUUGGACAAUGGGCGAAAGCCUGAUCCAGCCAUGCCGCGUGUGUGAAGAAGGUCUUCGGAUUGUAAAGCACUUUAAGUUGGGAGGAAGGGCAGUAAGUUAAUACCUUGCUGUUUUGACGUUACCAACAGAAUAAGCACCGGCUAACUUCGUG
rnacentral:rRNA from 1 species